AAUCAACGCUGGCGGCGUGCCUAACACAUGCAAGUCGAACGAGAAAGUGGAGCAAUCCAUGAGUAAAGUGGCGCACGGGUGAGUAACACGUGACUAACCUACCCUUGAGUGGGGGAUAACCUAGGGAAACCUGGGCUAAUACCGCAUAAUACCUACGGGUCAAAGGAGCAAUUCGCUUUGGGAGGGGUCGCGGCCGAUUAGUUAGUUGGCAGGGUAAUGGCCUACCAAGACGAUGAUCGGUANCCGGCCUGAGAGGGCGCACGGACACACUGGAACUGAAACACGGUCCAGACUCCUACGGGAGGCAGCAGUGGGGAAUUUUGCGCAAUGGGAGAAACCCUGACGCAGCAACGCCGCGUGGAGGAUGAAGUCCCUUGGGACGUAAACUCCUUUCGAUCGGGAC
rnacentral:rRNA from 1 species